GAAUAAUGACUGUAUUCACGACAUUUAUUUGGGCUGUUAGAUGGGAUUUCAUAGCCAUGCUUAUUUCUAUCGUCAGGAUACAAUAAACCCACCAUUGCAAUCCAGCAAAAUCGAGUCCAUCAUGCCUUAGGUCUCAUCUGCUUCUCAAUCUUCUUCCUUCUGCCUCCACCAUCGAGCUUCUAGAAGUGCUCUAAAGACCUUCUACUACCUUAAAUAUCCUUUAUGUAUGCCAUCGAAACCCGUAUAUAAACCGACACCAGGCACCAUUUCCAUUCCAAAAUGGAUACCAAAACUAAGCAUGAGGAAUCACUUCCUUGCCACCGACUACUCUGCCUCUCGUUCCCAGAUCAAAACCCUGAGAGACUUCCAAUUCCUCCCACUUUCGCUGCCAAAUCUCCCCCCCUUUUGAUCCUCCUCUAGGCAUCGAGAUCCCUUUCUUCGAUCUCAAUCUCGAUCUCCGCUUUCCUUCCAAAAUCGAUGGAUUUUCGAUUGAGAAUGCCCUCUCUUAGUUCCUCUCGAUUUCUUCAUGCUAGAGAGGGAACCUCCAUUGAUUCCAGCUCUCGAAACAGAGAGCUAGAGCGAUUUAGGUAUGGAUCGGCCGAGAUCAGCGUAUCUGAGGUGAAUCGGCUAUUUCUUUGUGCUUUAGAUCGUGGAUUUGGUGUUGAAGGCUUGAUUCUGGUUUGGCUUUGUUGUCACAAAGAAGAGAUGAUGACUCCUGGGAGGAAGAGAAUCAGGAGAGUUGGAAAUGCUCCAGCGCUGGAGCAGAUGCUGUUGAUGUAUUAGAUGAUAGGACAAAGCGUACCGAUGAGUCAUCAUCAUUUGUGGAGUAUAGUCGCAUCGAGGCCCAAGUGUUCACCAAGCCUAUGAGAUCAGAGCAUUAUGGCAGAAUGAGGAGUCAUAGAGUUGAAGUCACUCCCACUCAGUUGUCUGCAGUAUACAAAUAUACUCAGGAGUGUAGAUAGAACAAUAGCACUGCAGAGGUCUGUAAGCUAGAGACAUAGAUGCAGGAGAUGAGUCAAAGAUAUGACCUACAGAUGGAGGAGCUGAGGCAGAGCUAUCAGACAGAGAUAAUGUCAUUGAGGACUCAGGGUUCCGAUACUUCCAAUAGUUGCCGAGAUGAUGAUACCAUGCACAAGUGAUAGCUUUCUCUUUUCUUUUCAGAAUGGGUUCUACUUGAAUUCCCUCUUGUUCAGUUUGAGCUUUUAGUUUGGGGUUUCAUUGGUUAUGGGUUCUUUUGGGUGUAGCUAAUUUUGGUGUUAUGAUGUCC